rnacentral:lncRNA from 13 species
UUUCAAAAUAUUUCCAGAAAAAUUUUAUCUCCAUUUGACAGAUGGAAGAGACUCACAGACACAGUGAGGAUUGUGACCAGGUUUCGCCUGUCUCCCCAGAGAAUGCCAACUCCACGGGGGCAGGAGAGACCUUGUCCAUUCACUGUUGUACCACCUGGAACAAAUACUGGCACAGGCUCCAGGAUGACGGAGGCCUUGACUCUCAUAUCUACUGCUAUGACCCCAUAUGAGGAACCGUGCCUGGUAUGCUGGAGGCAAUCUCUAAGUAUUAGCUGGGCACACAGAUGAGCAAAUGCAGAUGUUCUGAGCAUACAAUGUCAAGUCUGAAGUAGCUGGCCUUGCUAGUAAGACAUUUUUUUGAAAUCUUAU